rnacentral:rRNA from 1 species
UAUGAAGUCGGAAUUGCUAGUAAUCGCAGAUCAGCAUGCUGCGGUGAAUACGUUCCCGGGCCUUGUACACACCGCCCGUCACACCAUGAGAGUCGAUAACACCCGAAGCCUGUAGUCUAACCAUAAGGAGGACGCAGUCGAAGGUGGGAUUGAUAAUUAGGGUGAAGUCGUAACAAGGUAAC